rnacentral:rRNA from 1 species
UACGUAGGGUGCGAGCGUUGUCCGGAAUUACUGGGCGUAAAGCGUGCGCAGGCGGUUGUGCAAGACAGGUGUGAAAUCCCCGGGCUUAACCUGGGAACUGCACUUGUGACUGCACGGCUGGAGUGCGGCAGAGGGGGAUGGAAUUCCGCGUGUAGCAGUGAAAUGCGUAGAUAUGCGGAGGAACACCGAUGGCGAAGGCAAUCCCCUGGGCCUGCACUGACGCUCAUGCACGAAAGCGUGGGGAGCAAACAGG